rnacentral:rRNA from 1 species
UACGGGGGGUCCAAGCGUUGUUCGGAAUCACUGGGCGUAAAGCGCACGUAGGUGGCUUUUCAAGUCUGUUGUGAAAGCCCAGGGCCUAACCCUGGAAGUGCAGCAGAUACUGUUAAGCUUGAGUAUGGGAGAGGAUAGUGGAAUUUCUGGUGUAGUGGUGAAAUACGUAGAUAUCAGAAGGAACACCAGUGGCGAAGGCGGCUAUCUGGCCCAAUACUGACACUAAGGUGCGAAAGCGUGGGGAUCAAACAG